rnacentral:rRNA from 1 species
AUGGCGAGCGGCGGCGCGGGGGGAUACUACCACGGCGACCGGUACGGCUACGGCUACUCGUACCCGCGGCAGCAGGCCGCGCCGUCGGCGACGUCGUUCCACAUGUGCCUGUUCCUGGCCACGGCGUGCCUCCUCGGCGGCGUGUCGCUCUACUCGCACUGCGAGUCCGCGGUGGAGAGCCUCGUCGACCAGCUCCGGGUCGCCGUCGUCCUGUCCCCGUUCGUCCUCCUCCUCGCGGCGCAGUACUGGUCCGCGACCGGGCGGCGCUGGCGGUCGUCGUCGUACUCGUCGUCGUCGCUGGACGCGGCCCCGGCGCCGGUGGUGUCGUGGGAGCAGCAGCCGCCCUGGUACGACCAGCGGCAGCGGGACGGCGGCGCGUCGUCGCCGUGGGGCGUGGCGCUGGCGCUGGCGCUCGUCCUGCUGCUCAUCUCCUACCAGUCCUGCUUCCAGUACUGGUGGUCCCCCGUCGUCCGCCGCCGGCGCUGA